UGCGUAGGCGGACUAAUAAGUCAGUGGUGAAAUCUUUCGGCGCAACCGAGAAACUGCCAUUGAUACUGUUAGUCUUGAGUUCGGUUGAGGUAGGCGGAAUGUGUAAUGUAGCGGUGAAAUGCUUAGAUAUUACACAGAACACCAAUUGCGUAGGCAGCUUACUAGACCGACACUGACGCUGAGGCACGAAAGCGUGGGGAGCGAACAGGAUUGGAUACCCUGGUAGUCC
rnacentral:rRNA from 1 species